UUGUAUUCUCUCAUUCUUGUUAACAUAUUGUACGUUUUGUAUUCUAUCAUUCUUGCUUACAUACGAUUCAGUUUCUCAAAAACCUCUGAAAUUGAGGAAAUACAUAUCGUUACCUGAAAUGCAAAAAAGACGUAACCACAUCGUAAAUGAAAUG